rnacentral:rRNA from 1 species
GUCUAUAGCCCUGCCACCCUGAAUGUACUUGAUCUCCUCUGAUCUUGGAAGCUAAACAGGGUCAGGCCUGGUUAGUACUUGGAUGGGAGACCACCUAGGAAGACCAGGUGCUAAAAAAG